UACGGGGGGGGCAAGCGUUGUUCGGAAUUACUGGGCGUAAAGGGCUCGUAGGCGGCCAACUAAGUCAUACGUGAAAUCCCUCGGCUUAACCGGGGAACUGCGUCUGAUACUGGAUGGCUUGAGUUCGGGAGAGGGAUGCGGAAUUCCAGGUGUAGCGGUGAAAUGCGUAGAUAUCUGGAGGAACAUCAGUGGCGAAAGCGGCUUCCUGGACCAGUACCGACGUUCAGGCACGAAAGCGUGGGGAGCAAACAGG
rnacentral:rRNA from 1 species